GACGAACGCUGGCGGCGUGCUUAACACAUGCAAGUCGAACGGAAAGGCCCUGCUUUUGUUGGGUUCUCGAGUGGCGAACGGGUGAGUAACACGUGAGUAACCUGCCCUUGACUUUGGGAUAACUUCAGGAAACUGGGGCUAAUACCGGGUAUGAGCUACUGCUGCAUGGUGGGGGUUGGAGAGUUUCGGCGGUUGGGGAUGGACUCGCGGCUUAUCAGCUUGUUGGUGGGGUAGUUGCUUACCAAGGCUUUGACGGGUAGCCGGCCUGAGAGGGUGACCGGCCACAUUGGGACUGAGAUACGGCCCAGACUCCUACGGGAGGCAGCAGGGGGGAAUAUUGCACAAUGGGCGGAAGCCUGAUGCAGCAACGCCGCGUGCGGGAUGACGGCCUUCGGGUUGUAAACCGCUUUCGCCUGUGACGAAGCGUGAGUGACGGUAAUGGGUAAAGAAGCACCGGCUAACUACGUG
rnacentral:rRNA from 1 species